CCUACGGGUGGCAGCAGUGAGGAAUAUUGGUCAAUGGGCGCGAGCCUGAACCAGCCAAGUCGCGUGAAGGAUGACUGCCCUACGGGUUGUAAACUUCUUUUAUAAAGGAAUAAAGUGAGGCACGUGUGCCUUUUUGUAUGUACUUUAUGAAUAAGGAUCGGCCAACUCCGUGCCAGCAGCCGCGGUAAUACGGAGGGUCCGAGCGUUAUCCGGAUUUAUUGGGUUUAAAGGGAGCCUAGGUGGGUUGUUAAGUCAGUUGUGAAAGUUUGCGGCUCAACCGGAGAAGUGCAAUUGAUACUGGCAGCCUUGAGUACAGUUGAGGUGGGCAGAAUUCGUGGUGUAGCGGUGAAAUGCUUAGAUAUCACGAGGAACUCCGAUUGCGAAGGCAGCCUACUAAAC
rnacentral:rRNA from 1 species